rnacentral:rRNA from 1 species
CUUUACUACAGCUUUGCACUGGACUUCGAGUUUGUUUGUGUAGGAUAGGUGGGAGGCGCUGAAGCCAGGACGCCAGUUCUGGUGGAGCCGUCCUUGAAAUACCACCCUGACACGCUUGGAGUUCUAACCUAGGUCCGUAAUCCGGAUCGGGGACAGUGUAUGGUGGGUAGUUUGACUGGGGCGGUCUCCUCCGAAAGAGUAACGGAGGAGCACAAAGGUACCCUCAGCGCGGUCGGACAUCGCGCAAUGAGUGCAAAGGCAUAAGGGUGCUUGACUGCGAGACAGACACGUCGAGCAGGGGCGAAAGCCGGUCUUAGUGAUCCGGUGGUUCUGUAUGGAAGGGCCAUCGCUCAACGGAUAAAAGGUA